rnacentral:SRP_RNA from 1 species
AGCCGGGUCCUGUGCAACGAAGGCGCGCGAACCCCGUCAGAUCCGGAAGGAAGCAGCGGUAGCGCUUCCCUUUGUGUGCUGCAGGGGUGCCUGGCUAUC